AGGAUAUAUAUAUAUAGAGAGAGAGAGUAUGAUUGUCGUGUGUUCAGGAGCACGAAAGUCUCUGUGCCUUUUUGUUGAUAGAAUUUCUGAAUCAACGAUCUGCUUUAUUAGAUUUGAUUUACCAUAUUUGAAGUAUCUAGAAAAUAAAUUUUAUGAUUUUUCAAUAUCAUUUACCUACUGAUUGAAAGGGUUCAAAAUCAACAGCUGAAAAAAAAAUAAUCUCACAAAAAGUGAUGAUAUAAUAUUAAAAUUUUCAAUCAGAAAUAUUGAUAUAACUAGCUGUGGAUAGCAUAAAAAAUUUUCUAUCAAAAUUUCAUCUGAUUUAGAUACUUCUAUAUCGUUAAAUUGGGAAACAAUAGAUAUCUACCAUUAAAAAUUAUUGAUUUGGAGAAGAAUUAUAAAAUAUAAAAUAUAUUUUUUAAAUACUUCAAAUACGCUAGAUAAAGUUUAACAUAACUGAUCGUCAAUUCGAAAAUUUCAUCAUCGAAAACGGCUUAGGAGCACAGAGGCUUUUAUGCUAUUAUAAGAGUAUAGCAGUCCUGCUAUAUAUAUAUAUAUAGAGAGAGAGAG
rnacentral:lncRNA from 1 species